rnacentral:rRNA from 1 species
UACGUAGGGCGCAAGCGUUAUCCGGAAUUAUUGGGCGUAAAGAGCUCGUAGGCGGUUUGUCGCGUCUGCUGUGAAAGUCCGGGGCUCAACUCCGGAUCUGCGGUGGGUACGGGCAGGCUAGAGUGAUGUAGGGGAGACUGGAAUUCCUGGUGUAGCGGUGAAAUGCGCAGAUAUCAGGAGGAACACCGAUGGCGAAGGCAGGUCUCUGGGCAUUAACUGACGCUGAGGAGCGAAAGCAUGGGGAGCGAACAGG